AUUGAACGCUGGCGGCAGGCCUAACACAUGCAAGUCGAGCGAGCGGCGGACGGGUGAGUAUUGUCUGGGAAACUGCCCGAUGGAGGGGGAUAACUACUGGAAACGGGAGCUAAUACCGCAUACCAUCAGAUGUGCCCCGAUGGGAUUAGCUAGUGGGUGGGGUAACGGCUCACCUAGGCGACGAUCCCUAGCUGGUCUGAGAGGAUGACCAGCCACACUGGAACUGAGACACGGUCCAGACUCCUACGGGAGGCAGCAGUGGGGAAUAUUGCACAAUGGGCGCAAGCCUGAUGCAGCCAUGCCGCGUGUGUGAAGAAGGCCUUCGGGUUGUAAAGCACUUUCAGCGGGGAGGCGUUACCCGCAGAAGAAGCACCGGCUAACUCCGUGCCAGCAGCCGCGGUAAUAC
rnacentral:rRNA from 1 species